GUUGACCACCAUCUGACAUCGUGUAUUUGAUAGCAUGACACAGUGGGGCCAACUAAUAUGUGUUUGAUGGCGCCAACAUCAUCCACCAGUUGAAAUUGAUGUAUUUCGAUUCCAUUAUGAUGCAAUUCAUAGUUAUACGUGGAAUCAAUAUAUAGUUAUAGUUUACAUUAAUUAAAUUAUAGCUAAAUAGCAAUCUUAUAAUCUGUAACCAAUCCUCAUAAUAAUAAACAACAAAUCUGAAACAUUAUGGUAGUCAAUUUUACAUGGCAUUGGUUUUAUAGAAAAUAUUAAAGCAAAUCUAAAAGAGAUUUUUAAUAGAUAAGGAUAUAUACCAAAAAGUUCUUAUUGGACAAGAAAAUUAAUAUGAUGCCUUUUUUUAAAUAUAAAUUAAAUUUUUUUUUAUCUUGAAGCUAGAAUCAUUUAAACUUACAUAAAUAUAUUCUUGUUGAGGAAAUACUUAGAUUAUUUAUUAAUAAAUGAAUUAAAAGUUGUAAUACAGUUUUGAUAAUCUUAUGAAAUGAAAAUCACAAUUUUCUUAACAAAAAAUAACAAAAAUCACCAUGUCCACUGUGCAGAAGGCAACAGGAAACCACUCCACAUAUCACUUUCCUAAUAGUCCAGUUCAUCUUGGUAUCUGGUUUAUCCAAGACCCGGAGCUGUGAAGAACAAAAAAAAAUUUAUAUAAAACGUUGGGAUGGAGUUAUUUGGAUUACAGUUAACCAAAAAAUUUUAUAUGUUACUAAUUAAAUUUAUCUGAUUGAAUUAUUUUCAAAAAAGUUUUAAUAAAGAAUUAAAAAUCAGUUUAAAAUAAGUAGU